rnacentral:rRNA from 1 species
UCCUCUAGAGAUUAGAGUUUGAUCCUGGCUCAGAUUGAACGCUGGCGGCAUGCCUUACACAUGCAAGUCGAACGGUAACGCGGGGCAACCUGGCGACGAGUGGCGAACGGGUGAGUAAAGCAUCGGAACGUGCCCAGUAGUGGGGGAUAGCCCGGCGAAAGCCGGAUUAAUACCGCAUACGACCUACGGGUGAAAGGGGGGGAUCGCAAGACCUCUCGCUAUUGGAGCGGCCGAUGUCAGAUUAGCUAGUUGGUGGGGUAAAGGCCUACCAAGGCGACGAUCUGUAGCUGGUCUGAGAGGACGACCAGCCACACUGGGACUGAGACACGGCCCAGACUCCUACGGGAGGCAGCAGUGGGGAAUUUUGGACAAUGGACGAAAGUCUGAUCCAGCCAUGCCGCGUGCGGGAAGAAGGCCUUCGGGUUGUAAACCGCUUUUGUCAGGGAAGAAAUCUUCUGGGUUAAUACCUCGGGAGGAUGACGGUACCUGAAGAAUAAGCACCGGCUAACUACGUGCCAGCAGCCGCGGUAAUACGUAGGGUGCAAGCGUUAAUCGGAAUUACUGGGCGUAAAGCGUGCGCAGGCGGUUAUGUAAGACAGAUGUGAAAUCCCCGGGCUCAACCUGGGAACUGCAUUUGCGACUGCAUAGCUUGAGUGCGGCAGAGGGGGAUGGAAUUC